UGGGGAAUUUUGGACAAUGGGCGCAAGCCUGAUCCAGCCAUUCCGCGUGCAGGAUGAAGGCCCUCGGGUUGUAAACUGCUUUUGUACGGAACGAAACGGCGCUUUCUAAUACAGGGCGCUAAUGACGGUACCGUAAGAAUAAGCACCGGCUAACUACGUGCCAGCAGCCGCGGUAAUACGUAGGGUGCGAGCGUUAAUCGGAAUUACUGGGCGUAAAGCGUGCGCAGGCGGUGAUGUAAGACAGAUGUGAAAUCCCCGGGCUCAACCUGGGAACUGCAUUUGUGACUGCAUCGCUGGAGUGCGGCAGAGGGGGAUGGAAUUCCGCGUGUAGCAGUGAAAUGCGUAGAUAUGCGGAGGAACACCGAUGGCGAAGGCAAUCCCCUGGGCCUGCACUGACGCUCAUGCACGAAAGCGUGGGGAGCAAACAGGAUUAGAUACCCCCGUAGUCC
rnacentral:rRNA from 1 species